ACCUGGCUGGCUCAGUUGGUAGAGCAUUUGACUCUUAAUCUCAGGGUCGUGAGUUCAAGCCCCACAUUGGGUG
rnacentral:tRNA from 1 species